AAAAUUGGCAUGCAAGAGAGGGAAAAAGAGUAGAGUAACGUGGGUCAAAAUUUUUGGUUUUUCUUGUCUCUAUUUUCUUUUAAACAAAAAUCUAAAUAAAUAAAAUAAAAUAAAUGAACAAAACUAAGUUAAUUCAAAAAGAAUAAAAUUAGAAAAAAACUUCCUCUUUUCUCACAACGGGAUUCAAACACAAAACCAAAGCAAGCUAACAACACACUCCACCACCAAACCAGGAUGCUCAUUCUAACAUUAAAACAUGAAAAUAAACUCAACUUCUUAACCUACUCACUGACCCUUACUACAAACCUCAAAACUUCUAACCCCAAAUUUCGGGGUGUUACAAGCUAUAUAAGUUUGUGUGUAUCCCUUAGCAACAAGUCUUGCUUUGUAACUCUCAUGACACCCAUUAAC
rnacentral:lncRNA from 1 species